AUGCAGAUCAAAGAUUUGAAAGGUCAGCUCUCACUGUUAGCCAGAUGGAGAGAUGGUGCGUUCACACCAUUGAAAGGGGCAUUUUUAGUCUUCUUGGAAGUUCUGCACACGUCUGCUCCAAUAUUUCCUACUCUUAAGAAUUCAUUCCAAAUCAGAGCGAGUAUUCAAAGACUGAUCAUUACAACGUUGUUCGUAACAGCAAAAAAAGAGAAAAAACCGUGGGGUGGACUCCAUGUCCGUCCAUUGGAUUGAUGUUGGAUUGAUGGACUGUUACAUUUUGUUUCUUCUCACGUCCAGGUCCUGUGCCACUGUCAAAUGUGGUCACAAGCUGAUGAAAAUAUCAGGACAUGGAAAGACGCGCUCGCUCUCUCUCUCACAUACACACACACCGUAGAUCUGUGCAUAUGUGUUAACUCAUUUUUCCUUUAGGUUGCAAGAAAAAGAAAUCAAAGCAGUUUGCAAAAUUUUAAGUACGUGCUCUUUUCGGCGCGUGCAAAAUUAUUUUACAAAGCUUCCUUUUUUUACGAAAAGACGUUAUGGAAAAAUUCGGAAGGUUUGAGUUACUUCCUUACUGUACGCUUUAAUUGUAAAUGUUAUUGGGGAACUUCCCGCCACGAGGGCUGAAGAAAUUAACACGGUUCUACUUCCCACCAGCUCCUGGUAUGAUCCUGUCGUUACCGUCAUCACCUUCUGAGGGUUGUCACCACCGAUUCCCACAGUGAGCUUGUGUCAGUUCUCUCCGUAGCGGUCAUUGUCCGCCACCUGUCUCUGGUUUCUGUAGUCCUGGCGUCACUGACUUGCCUGUUGGCUGGCUCAGCGUCAUUCCACGAUUUGCUU
rnacentral:lncRNA from 1 species